rnacentral:rRNA from 1 species
CAUGAUGAACGCUAGCUUACAGGCUUAACACAUGCAAGUCGAGGGGCAGCAUGGUCUUAGCUUGCUAAGGCCGAUGGCGACCGGCGCACGGGUGAGUAACACGUAUCCAACUUGCCGUCUACUCUUGGACAGCCUUCUGAAAGGAAGAUUAAUACAAGAUGGCAUCAUGAGUCCGCAUGUUCACAUGAUUAAAGGUAUUCCGGUAGACGAUGGGGAUGCGUUCCAUUAGAUAGUAGGCGGGGUAACGGCCCACCUAGUCUUCGAUGGAUAGGGGUUCUGAGAGGAAGGUCCCCCACAUUGGAACUGAGACACGGUCCAAACUCNUACGGGAGGCAGCAGUGAGGAAUAUUGGUCAAUGGGCGAGAGCCUGAACCAGCCAAGUAGCGUGAAGGAUGACUGCCCUAUGGGUUGUAAACUUCUUUUAUAAAGGAAUAAAGUCGGGUAUGGAUACCCGUUUGCAUGUACUUUAUGAAUAAGGAUCGGCUAACUCCGUGCCAGCAGCCGCGGUAAUACGGAGGAUCCGAGCGUUAUCCGGAUUUAUUGGGUUUAAAGGGAGCGUAGAUGGAUGUUUAAGUCAGUUGUGAAAGUUUGCGGCUCAACCGUAAAAUUGCAGUUGAUACUGGAUAUCUUGAGUGCAGUUGAGGCAGGCGGAAUUCGUGGUGUAGCGGUGAAAUGCUUAGAUAUCACGAAGAACUCCGAUUGCGAAGGCAGCCUGCUAAGCUGCAACUG